ACAUAUUUCCAAUGCUUGUUUGUUACAGCAGUUUGCAAGGAGAAAAAAACCAUUGCCUGAUUAUUUCCAAGGCAGAAAUGAAACUGAAUUAACAAUAUCUGAUAAUAUAAAAAGUAAACUGCAAGUAAAUAGUUUGAACUUCAGGAAUAUUUGCAGUUGAUAAUGACAAUGUUGAACUGCUGAAAUGCUAUCCUAAUGACACAGUCACAAAAAAUGAGGAGGAAUAUUUGCUUCCAGCUAAUUGCUGAGCCUGUAUACUGUGUAACACCACAAAGCACAUUCUGAAUAAAUCAUCAUUUGAUCUUGAAGGUUAUGCAACAAAACUUUUCAAUAGCCUUUUCUCAUCAUCAAAAGAAUUUUGUGAUUACAGGAGAGAAUUCAUUUUUUCAGCUCUGAGAGCGUGGCAAAGCAGAGGUGUGCCCUGACAAGCCAGUUAUCUGUGUGCUUUGUCACUGGCAAUGACCUGGGCACGAUUCCCAGCUCAGACAUUUCCUCGUGUGCAAGGGCAGGGAUGGUGGGACUGGGCAGAGAAGCUGCCAGUGCUGGAAUCCCACUGGUGCUGCUGCCCAGCCCCUGCGCUGGCACACUCCAGGGGCUGGGCAGGGGGAAGCAGAGCAGCCUUUGGCAUCACCCUUAGCCCAGACCCAUUCACCCAGCAGAGCUCCACAGAGCUCCAAAGCCAACGAGGCAGGAGCAGCUCCUGUGCCCCUGCCCAGGGAGGCUCACGAGGCUGUGGGGCAGCAGCUCCUCCCUUCAGUGCCCACUGCACCCAGCCCCUGCUGCUGAGCCCUGCGUGUGCCACCUUGGAUCACUCCUGUGCACCACCAGCUCCUCAUCGUUUGCCCUUGGUGUUUUUCAGCACAAUCCAUCAUUUCAGCAUAAAUGCUGUCUCACCUGGCCUUGCAGCUCUCUUGGUACCAUACAAAGCAGGUGUCCAGGGCAAAGGCUCCCCUCUCCUGGGGCCAGCACCUGCAUCCUCCCCUGCCAAGAUGAGCCUCUUGGCUCUAUACAUGACUCAGCUUUCCUCACAAUGCACCAUACAUAUUUUUUCACAAGGAUGGUUAAAAAUAUCACAAUUUGAUCUUCCUUAUGCAAAAGACUGUGACAUCUAAGGGAGAAAUUAGAAAAAAGCAGGCAAACUGGGCUCUUACUAAAACUGGACAGCAGCAGAGCACAGCACUCUGCCAGGGGCCUCCUCCACAGCAUCAUGCCAGUCCCAGGGAGCUUCUGCAAGCAAAAUGAAUGAGCUCAGCUGCUCUCCCCGCUUCUGGAAUUUGGAGAAAUUAGCAUGCACCUUACUGUGUCUUCCAGUCUGAGCCCAGAUGGUGUGUAGGAAGAACUCUGAGAGCUUGGUGCAUGCCCAUGUCAUGGGCAGUGUGCUCUGGGCAGGCUGGUGGCAGUGCUGGGACCCCAGGGUGUCACUAACAUCCCGGUGCCCCCCCACAGCUGACAGCCACAGAGGGUGUCUGCAGUGUGGGCCCCACAGGACAAAUGCCUUCCCUGGGCCGUGUGGGUCAGCCACAAGCAUCCCCUCCUUCAGCCCAGCCCUGCUGCUGGCCACAGCACUGAUUUAGCUCUGGGCAGGUCCACCCUGCUCUGGCAGUACCAGAAGGUUGCUAUUCUACAAGUAGCUAUAAAGGGCUUGAGCACUAGGACAGUAUCAAUUGUGGUUUUCUGACAAUGGUUCCACAAAAAGCAAAGUUAUUUUGAGAAGGGUAAAUGCAGCCCAGACCAUUAUAUUUAAUUCAUGUCCACCCACAGCCCUCCUGCUCUGCUGAGCACGGUGGCACUUCAGACUCCAUGUCCUGCCCUAGAUAUGACUCUGGGGACAGGGCAAUUUCGCUUUCUAGUGUUGCUGCUCCUCCAGGAGGAAUUCUGGCUGCAGGAAGUUUCCCCCACACAUGCUCUGCCACCCUCCCAUGCCACUCUGGGCACCCAUGUGCAGCUACCUGUUGCUGCUACAGGCAGUCUCCAGCAUCCUGCACCACAUCCUUCCCAGCCUGUGCAGGGUGCUCUGGGUUCCUGCUGAGCUGCCCAAACCACCAGAGCAGGAUGGGCAUCACUCCCCAGUGAGGGAUGGGGAAGUGACACUGGGAGAAAGACCCACAUCACCUCUGGACACUGGUUCCAGGUCAGCCUCCUGUACCCUCUAGUCUGGGACUUUUGGGAUUAGAAACUGAAAGGACAGACAGAAAAUCUUGAAAUACUUCUAGGCCCCAUGUUGGACAGUGUUUUCUCAGCCUCUGCUUCUUUUUCACUCCUAGAAUCAGGACAAUGUGGUCCCUUUGCAGUGAGGCUUGGCUGAGCACGGACUGCAGAAACUCCUGGGCAAGGAGGAGCUGCAAACAGCAGUAACUUCAUACUGGAGACCAGAGAGUCAUUUUUCAGGAUUUGUACAUGAUGCUACCAGCCCAAAUCCACCUGACACAUUUAUUCAUUAAAAAUCUGGUACUGUGUUUUUAUGACAAAUGUAUGACUGCCUUGACACUCAGUAGUCAGUCUAGCAUUAUUUAAAAUCUUCCCUUAUUAUGAUUAUCUGAUAAUGCAGCCUAUUAUACACAGCUCUUCAGGGAAGGAGAGG
ensembl:lncRNA